UACGGAGGAUCCGAGCGUUAUCCGGAUUUAUUGGGUUUAAAGGGUGCGCAGGCGGGAGAUUAAGUCGGCGGUGAAAUUUUGCAGCUCAACUGUAAAAGUGCCUUCGAAACUGGUUUCCUUGAGUGUAGAUGAAGUAGGCGGAAUUUGUGGUGUAGCGGUGAAAUGCAUAGAUAUCACGAGGAACUCCGAUUGCGAAGGCAGCUUACUAAACUACUACUGACGCUCAGGCACGAAGGCGUGGGGAUCAAACAGGAUUAGAUACCCGGGUAGUCCCUGA
rnacentral:rRNA from 1 species